CCAACAGAGCCGCACCACUCCCCACCUCGACCUCUCUCUCUCUCCCCGCGACCCUUCUCUGCCGCCGCCACCCACGCCGGUGAUUCCGGCAGCUUCCGGCGAUUCCGGCUGCUGCCGACGACGCCAAGCACACUCGCAUGAUCGCCUCCGUCCGCUCCGUCUUCCCUUCCGAGCAGAUUCGUCGCUUGCGUCCUCUACCGGUCACCCACGACCGUCCCCUAAGCUAGGGUUUCAGCCACCGCGUCGCCGGCGUGGCUCCGGCGGCUCAGAUCGAGCACGCCAAUGUCGCCGUCGUUUCGCUUGCGCUGGAACAGCAAAGGGAAGGCCAUGGACGACGCCGCUCCAGCCCUUCUCCGACGCCAUCAAGCAGUAGCAGCAACUCGAUGCAGGGACGAGGGAGAGGAGGAGUCCUGCUUCCCCGGCGUGCAUCCUCUCUCUCGGAACGACACCCAACCUCAAGCGAGAGAUGCAUGUGUGGGUGGCAGCAGAUCAACCUCCUUCUCAACCAAUGUCAGGCAUCCUCUGUGGAUGAUGACGACAACCAGGGCAUCCACCGCCACGACGACACCCCGCACAUGGUCCAACUCGGCUACAACCUCCUCUACCGCGCGACUGCGGCCGCCGUCGUGUUCGGCAUCGACUACAACCUCCUCUCCAGAUCUUUGGUUCAUUAUACUGACUGCAUGCCACCUCUGUCAUCGCUGCCCCGUCUCCCGCACCAUCGGCACCGCCCCUCCGCCUUCUCCUUUGAUGCUGUAGUGGAUUCUUAGAAUGAAAAUGUUGUGUACAUCAAAAAUAUUUUAUGGUCUGUGUUUGCAAAACCAUGGUUGUUGAAUCAUGUCUUAUAAUUGUAUUGGAAAUUGCUAGCCUUUUUGGCUAGUAUUUUUUAGUGGAUUCUUAGAAUGAAAAUGUUGUGUACA
rnacentral:rRNA from 1 species